GCCAGAGCUAUAUCUCCCUGCAGUUCUCACCUGAUUUCCAACUGAAGCUAAGCAGGGUCUAGAUAUGGAAGCUGAGUCUGGUUAUUACCUGGAUGGGAGACCUCCUGGGGAAAACUAAGGUUGCUGCUGGAA
rnacentral:rRNA from 1 species